GUCCAGACUCCUACGGGAGGCAGCAGUGAGGAAUAUUGGUCAAUGGGCUUACGCCUGAACCAGCCAAGUCGCGUGAGGGAAGACUGCCCUAUGGGUUGUAAACCUCUUUUGUCAGGGAGCAACGCCGGCUACGUGUAGCCGGACUGAGAGUACCUGAAGAAAAAGCAUCGGCUAACUCCGUGCCAGCAGCCGCGGUAAUACGGAGGAUGCGAGCGUUAUCCGGAUUUAUUGGGUUUAAAGGGUGCGUAGACGGGAAAUUAAGUUAGUUGUGAAAUCCCUCGGCUCAACUGAGGAACUGCAACUAAAACUGGUUUUCUUGAGUGUUGGAGAGGAAAGCGGAAUUCCUAGUGUAGCGGUGAAAUGCGUAGAUAUUAGGAGGAACACCAGUGGCGAAGGCGGCUUUCUGGACAAUAACUGACGUUGAGGCACGAAAGUGUGGGGAGCAAACAGGAUUAGAUACCCUAGUACG
rnacentral:rRNA from 1 species